GUUGAAAAUCAGUCAACAAAAAAAAAAGGGGCCAGAACAGUUUUUUUCACUCUCUCUCUCUCGUCCGAAGCCACCCAAAACAGAGCAAAACUUCUCCAAGCUCUCUCUCACUCCACCGGCCACCAAUCAAGACCAGACCACUUCCUAUAGGUUCACCUCGACCUUGCGCAGCUUCCUGAGGCAGUCUUAAAACGCGACACGGCCACCAGCGGCGGCGGGAAACUCCGCCCGGUUUGAGCUCGUUUUGGUUCCUAGCUUGCUAUCUCAAGCUACCGGUCACCAAUCCUCACCAAACUUCAUCCUCGAGCUCACCUCAACCUCAUGAAACUCCCAGAAGUGUCCUUGCAAGGCAGAGCUGUGCGUGGUGGCAGCUGGAAGCCAGCCCCGAUCAAAAUCGAAAAACCGAGCAAUCGAUCCGGAUAUCUCGAGUUACAGACCACCUCUUCCAGUGAUUCUUGAGCUGGUGAACUCAGAUUGAAGUUCUGAACAAAUUUCAUGAAGAGAUCGAAGAGAGUAGUUGAAGUUUUUAUGUGGAACGGAGCUCUCGCCGGAUUCUGGAAUUUUUCCGGCCACCGAGACUUUCGAUCAUGAUAUCUCUAGUUUUAGAGCAUCUUUUUGAUUGAUUCUUGAACCAGUGAGUUCACCUUGAAGUUCUUAACAACUCUCCAGAAGGGAUCGAGGCCUGAUAUUGAAGUUUUUACGUCGAAAUCGAGCUCGCCGUUUCUGCAUUUCCUUGCCGGUUUCUGGAAAAUUUCCGGCCACCUCGACUGUUCUAGGUGAUUGACGGUCUUCCUUGGUGAGCGGUUUUGGUGUGUAUUGUGAAAUUGAAGACGCAGCGGGAUUAGAGCGGGUAAUCCUACAGGUCAGGAGAAUCGAGAAGGUGAUCAGGCUGCUUAGAGUAGUGGUAUUUGAGUUACAGCUUUAUUGUGAGGUUGUUAUGCACAUUGAGCUUACAUUUAAAUUUGGGGAGAGUGUGUUGUAAUAUUAAACUCUUGAGGAUUUGGUUUAUGUAUUAACGAGUGAGGCGAGGUGUGUUUAUUUCUGAGAAAAAAAUUCAGAACGUUUAUUUGAUUAAGUUGUUUAUUUCAUGUUUCGGAUUUGAAUUUAUUAUUCAAAAUUCGGGGCGUGACAUUUUACUAAUGUGACAACGAAUUGCUGUCAAAGUGGUAAAACUUUAUGUAUAUAUUGUAAAUGAGGCGUGAGUCCUUAAUUGUGUAUUAAAGUUCUAUAUUUUGUAACUUAAUACUUUUCUUGUGUAAAUCUCAUCAUCCAUGAGAUAAUUACUUAUUUGACAAUACAUUUUAU